rnacentral:SRP_RNA from 1 species
GCUGGGCAUGGUGGCCCAUGCCUGUAAUCCUAGCACUUGGGAGGCUGAGGCAGGCGAAUUGCCUGAGCUCAGGAGUUUGAGACCAGCCUGGGCAACAUGGCAAAACUCUGUCUCUA